rnacentral:rRNA from 1 species
ACCCGCUGAACUUAAGCAUAUCAAUAAGCGGAGGAAAAGAAACCAACAGGGAUUGCCCUAGUAACGGCGAGUGAAGCGGCAACAGCUCAAAUUUGAAAUCUGGCGCAAGCCCGAGUUGUAAUUUGUAGAGGAUGUUUCUGGCGACGUGCCUUCCGAGUUCCCUGGAACGGGACGCCAUAGAGGGUGAGAGCCCCGUACGGUUGGAUGCCUAGCCUCUGUGAAACUCCUUCGACGAGUCGAGUAGUUUGGGAAUGCUGCUCUAAAUGGGAGGUAUACGUCUUCUAAAGCUAAAUACCGGCCAGAGACCGAUAGCGCACAAGUAGAGUGAUCGAAAGAUGAAAAGCACUUUGAAAAGAGGGUUAAAAAGUACGUGAAAUUGUUGAAAGGGAAGCGUUCAUGACCAGACUUGGGCAGGUUGAUCAUCCGUGGUUCUCCGCGGUGCACUCUGCCUGCCCAGGCCAGCAUCAGUUCGCCCCGGGGGAUAAAGGCUUUGGGAAUGUGGCUCCCUCGGGAGUGUUAUAGCCCACUGUGUAAUACCCUGGGGUGGACUGAGGUUCGCGCUCUGCAAGGAUGCUGGCGUAAUGGUCAUCAACGACCCGUCUUGAAACACGGACCAAGGAGUCGUCUUCGUAUGCGAGUGUUCGGGUGUCAAACCCCUACGCGUAAUGAAAGUGAACGUAGGAGAGAGCUUCGGCGCAUCUCCGACCGAUCCUGAUGUUCUCGGAUGGAUUUGAGUAAGAGCAUACGGGGCCGGACCCGAAAGAAGGUGAACUAUGCCUGUAUAGGGUGAAGCCAGAGGAAACUCUGGUGGAGGCUCGCAGCGGUUCUGACGUGCAAAUCGAUCGUCAAA